AACGAACGCUGGCGGCAUGCCUAACACAUGCAAGUCGAACGAGACCUUCGGGUCUAGUGGCGCACGGGUGCGUAACGCGUGGGAACAUGCCCUUAGGUUCGGAAUAACUCUCCGAAAGGGGUGCUUAUACCGGAUAAUGUCUUCGGACCAAGGAUUUAUUGCCAUUGGAUGUGCGCUCGUUGGAUUAGCUAGUUGGUAGGGUAAAAGCCGACCACGGGGACGAUCCAUAGCUGGUAUGAGAGGCUGAUCAGCCACACUGAGAGUGAGACACGGCCCAGACUCCUACGCGAGGCAGCAAUGGGGGAUAUUGGACAAUCGGCGGAAGCCUGAUCGAGCUAGGCCGCGAAAGUUCUGUAAUCAGUGGAGUAGAAAAGCUCUUUUACCCGGGAUGAUAAUGACAGUACCGGAAGAAUAAGCUCCGGCUAACUCCGUG
rnacentral:rRNA from 1 species